AACGAACGCUGGCGGCAGGCCUAACACAUGCAAGUCGAACGCCCCGCAAGGGGAGUGGCAGACGGGUGAGUAACGCGUGGGAACCUACCUAGUGGUACGGAACAACUCGGGGAAACUUGAGCUAAUACCGUAUACGCCCUCAGGGGGAAAGAUUUAUCGCCAUUAGAUGGGCCCGCGUCGGAUUAGCUUGUUGGUGAGGUAAUGGCUCACCAAGGCGACGAUCCGUAGCUGGUCUGAGAGGAUGAUCAGCCACACUGGGACUGAGACACGGCCCAGACUCCUACGGGAGGCAGCAGUGAGGAAUAUUGGACAAUGGGCGAAAGCCUGAUCCAGCCAUGCCGCGUGAGUGAAGAAGGCCUUAGGGUUGUAAAGCUCUUUCGACGGGGAAGAUAAUGACGGUACCCGUAGAAGAAGCCCCGGCUAACUUCGUGCCAGCCGCCACCGUAA
rnacentral:rRNA from 1 species